GCGCAGCAGGCGCGAAACCUCCGCAAUGCGGGAAACCGCGACGGGGGACCCGAGUGCCGUGGCAACGCCACGGCUUUUCCGGAGUGUAAAAGCUCCGGGAAUAAGGGCUGGGCAAGGCCGGUGGCAGCCGCCGCGGUAAUACCGGCGGCCCGAGUGGUGGCCGCUAUUAUUGGGCCUAAAGCGUCCGUAGCCGGGCCCGUAAGUCCCUGGCGAAAUCCCACGGCUCAACCGUGGGGCUUGCUGGGGAUACUGCGGGUCUUGGGACCGGGAGAGGCGGGGGGUACCCCUGGGGGUAGGGGUGGAAAGUCCUAGUAAUCCCCAGGGGGGACCGCCAGUGGCGAAGGCGCCCCGCUGGAACGGGUCCGACGGUGA
rnacentral:rRNA from 1 species